rnacentral:rRNA from 1 species
CAAAUUUGAAAUCUGGCUUCGGCCCGAGUUGUAAUUUGUAGAGGAAGCUUUUGGCGAGGUACCGACUGAGUCCCCUGGAACGGGGCGCCAUAGAGGGUGAGAGCCCCGUAUAGUUGGACGCCGAGCCUCUGUAAAGCUCCUUCGACGAGUCGAGUAGUUUGGGAAUGCUGCUCAAAAUGGGAGGUAAAUUUCUUCUAAAGCUAAAUAUUGGCCAGAGACCGAUAGCGCACAAGUAGAGUGAUCGAAAGAUGAAAAGCACUUUGAAAAGAGGGUUAAAUAGCACGUGAAAUUGUUGAAAGGGAAGCGCUUGUGACCAGACUUGCGCCUGGCCGAUCAUCCGGGGUUCUCCCCGGUGCACUCGGCCAGGCUCAGGCCAGCAUCGGUUCUCUUGGGGGGACAAAGGUCCCGGGCAGAUG